UGGUAUUUGUUUAUUUCUUUUUUAAAAAAUCAACGUUACAUAUCUAAUAUUCUAGGAAAUCAAUGUUAGUAUAAUAAAGAUAACAAGGAAAAUAUUAAUAAUUUAAAUAUUUCAAUCGUCAAAUGUAGACGAUUUCGUAAUUAUGUAAUUUAUUCGCAUGAUAAUUUUGAAGUUAAGAAGAAAAAAAGAAAGAAAAGAAAUCCAAUUAUGCAAGACAGUUUCUUAGAAAUAUGACGAAAAUAUUCAAUUUUUAUACAGAAUUGGAUACAAUCUGAAUAAAUGUAAUCAAGCAGCGAGUAUUUGGCCCUUUUAUUCGGAGGAAUAUGGUGGGUUGACUGAUUCAUCGAUUUCUUUUUAAUUCGAUAAGUACGAUCUUCUCCUAAAUAAAGACUUAAAUAUGGCUUCGAUAAAUUAACCAAGAAAAAUUUUUGGAAUUAAUAUCAGUUUUGAUUCAAGCUGAGAAAGAUUCACAAAAAAAACAAAUUAAAAU